rnacentral:hammerhead_ribozyme from 1 species
AGCCGAAACAUGCUUAUUAAGGCAUGUCUCUCAGAGGUGGCCUCCUGAGACUGAUGAUGGCAGGCUUUU